CCUGAGAAACCCAAAAGAUCGAAUGGGGAGAUUCAUCGUCAGCUCAUUUUGUAUAUGUAUAAGUUACGAUGCGGGUUACUACUUGUAGUAUUGCCUGCACGUUCUUGUAUAUUUAGUUGCAAGAUGUUGUCGGCGUGCACUUCUUCCCUAGUAGGACGUCGCGACCCGUUGGGUGUCGGUCUACGGCCCAAGUGAUAGCCUUUAAUGUAAUUUAAAAAACAUUGAAGAUCCUUGGUGUUUUCUGACCGGCUACUCGGCGGUACUCGUACGGUAUUUAGCCGCUAAUUUAUUAGCGUCCAUGUCCGUCACAAGCGAGGCCAAUUUACUGAUAGUGCGGACCUAGUGCCGUCGUUGGUAUUGGCCAGCUGUUGGUUGUACGUGAUUCUGGGACUGGCUAAAAUUAAUUACCGGUCGGCGAUGCUACUGCUUUGGGUACUUUCAGG
rnacentral:rRNA from 1 species